GACGAACGCUGGCGGCGUGCUUAACACAUGCAAGUCGAACGGAAAGGCCCUGCUUGCAGGGUACUCGAGUGGCGAACGGGUGAGUAACACGUGGGUGAUCUGCCCUGCACUUCGGGAUAAGCCUGGGCAACUGGGUCUAAUACCGGAUAGGAGCCAUUUUUAGUGUGAUGGUUGGAAAGUUUUUUCGGUGUAGGAUGAGCUCGCGGCCUAUCAGCUUGUUGGUGGGGUGAUGGCCUACCAAGGCGGCUACGGGUAGCCGGACUGAGAGGGUGGACGGCCACACUGAGACUGAGGGACGGCCCAGACUGCUACGGGAGGCAGCAGGGGGGAAUAUUGAACGAUGGGCGCAGGGCGGAUGCAGCGACGCCGCGGGGGGGAUGACGGCCUUCGGGUUGUAAACUCCUUUCGCUAGGGACGAAGCUUUUUGUGACGGUACCUAGAUAAGAAGCACCGGCUAACUACGUG
rnacentral:rRNA from 1 species